AUGUCAGGCUGGAGUCAGAAACAGAUCCAGGACCUGUGUAGUUCUGAUGAAAUGCUGUGCUCUCUUCCUGCUGAGGAAGACAAGUGGCAGGUGAUCACAGAGGGUGUGAAGCUGUUCUGCAAGAAGUCAACAGGCAAGUGGAUAUGGCUUAAGUUCAACAAGGAAAAUACACGAGACUCCCCUGUUGAGUUUUUGGUAUAUAAAAUUUGCGAAGUUCACCUUUGGCAUGUGGGUGGACUGCCAUUUUGGGUGGUGAUGGGGAAUGUAGCACUAAUUUGAGAGUAGGUGAUCAUGAUAUAAAAGUGAUUGUAAGGCUGCACCCUGGUGCUUAUCUCUACUCUCUCUAUUGUUCAUUUCCUAUCUAUUGUUAUGGUUAUCACUUACAAUAAAAGGGCAUUGAUUUACA
rnacentral:lncRNA from 1 species